CCCAACCUCCCAUUUGCUCUUCCUCUCCCUAAAAUUUUUGCUCCACCGAAGAGGAACAAGAUCGCGCCGCCCGCCGGGUGUCGAACACCUGGUGAGCGAGGGCUGCGCCGCCGCCACAGGGCUUCUCAGCCGGUGUGGGUGGCGGGGUGUGGAGAGGAGUUGCUCGCGUUGCUGUAGCUGCUGUUGGAGGGAGCCGGGAGCCGCUGAACGAGGGAGACCAGGCGUCGAACACCUGCGACUGUCGUCGACAGCUAGCCGCCCCUGUUUCGUCCGCACCGCGCCGCGCCCGCCGAAAUCCGCCGUCUCGCCUUCCCGUGAAAUUGUAUAUCGGUUAGUCGCGAGGCAACGUAUGCAGCUUCCAGGAGGUGAAGGUUGAUCAAGAUUAUAUCAAGAAUAAGAACUAUCCUGAGCAGGCAAGUCAUCACCCCAUCCCUUGAGCAUGUUGAUCCCAAUUAUGAAAUUGCUUUGUUUACAAAUAAAAUUGCAUGCAGUGAUGAAUAUUCUACUUGUUAUUAUGCCAUGCCUUUGAUUAAUGGUUAUCUCAUUAUUCCCUUGUACCCAUAAUUACGUAUGAGUCCCUAGUCACUUAUGGCACAUGCUUAGUAAUGCUAAUUUAGAUUCAUGCAUUCUCAUAUUUAUCAAAUGCUUUAUGCUUGGGCAACUACCUUGGGGAAGGUAGUUGAGAUACAGCAUGUGGAGACAUGAGCGCCACAUUGCCAUGACAUUGAUGAGAUGAUUUGUGAAAGAAAGUUAAAACUAAACAAAUGUUUUCGACUGGGGCGGCUGGAGGACUUGGGUGGUGUCCGGUAAAGGCUAGUGCCGUCCCUAGUCAGUUAAGGACCGAGCCAUGAAGUUAAGCAUGAAACAACCCCCGUACAACCAUACUUCUCGUGUGGGUAUAGACCUAGCGGAGUAAAUAGCCGAGCGGAUACCCAGGCCGUAGUGGUUUUCUUGUUGUGUGUGAGGCAGGGCCUACGGUAGGGCAGCCAUUGGUAGGACCGCGUGGGGCGGGUGCCUACAGUGGUGUCGCCAUCGGUAGGACUACCAUGUGUAAACCUAAACUUAACUAUAACUUAAUGAAUGUGUGAGUCUUUCCCCCUCGGGAGCGCCAGAACUCCUCUCACUGCUAAAAACCUUGGACGCCUAGAGUGCAUGAGGACUAAAGUUCAUGGAGCAGGUACUGCCAAUGUGAGGUUAUUGAAAGGCUUUGCCGUGGCAAGUCUCAUUCAUUGAGACGUAGGCUCAUGUAUUGGGCAAGUCGCGGAGUACGGGUAAAGUGCACAUCCACUGCAGUGUGAGUAAACCAAAUCUAUUCGAAUAGCCGAGCUCGCGGUUAUUGAGCACCGGGACAUGUAUUACACUUGGCUAGACUCUAAUUUCUUAAACUGAUUGGGUGGGAUGCUGCACGAUGAUUUUGUUCUGGUGGAACAACUUCUCGAGAGGCGAGAAGGGGUAGACCCCAGAAAACCAUGACGACCAGUGGCGGGAAGCUAUCCUUGGGAACACAAUGGAUGGUGGACAGAACUGUCGCUGUUUAAUGAACAACGGAAUUAAAACUUGAUCAGUUUAUGCUAGGUCUUAGGUUUGUGAAAUGAUAUUUGAAAACUCAGCUUUACGCAAAGUAACCAUAGCCACUCCUUGUAUUAUCCUGUACAUUACUGCAUUUUGUGUGGUGGCUUGCUGAGUACUUUUGUACUCAUUGUUGCUCUAUAUAUAUCUUGUAGCAGAGUGUUGAAGAGAAGCCCUUGGAUUGCGGUUCCAUUCUAGGUCUCGUUCCCAGUCGACUGCUUGUGGCAUGUCAACCGGGCCCUUAUAUUAUUUUGUCUUCUGUUGUUGUUCUCUGAUAGUUGUUGGCCUGCCUAGCCCUAAUGUAAGCAUUUAACUCUCUUAGUCUGAAUUCAUUCGUGAUAUGUUGUGAUUCGGCUAUGUAUGUGUGAACCAACUACUGAUCCA